CAACUUUCACGGGCGGGCAGCGGCCAUCUUACGAAAGGCUUUGGCGCGCGGGGCAGUCGGGGAGGCUUAGGAUUGUGCUGGCUUCGUCGCAGCCCGCGCUUUGGAAGAAUGCCUCCCAAGGGGCGAAAAAGGAAGGCAAAGAUUCCUCAAGCAGAAGCCACAGCAUCCAAUGGAGAGGGAACCAGUGAUGUUAAAAAAUUGCCCAAGAUCCAGAAGACUGAAGGAUCGGGAGACCUUCAUGUGACCAUUGAGCACUGUAAAAGCUGACGAGUCUUUGGACGCACAGCUGAGGCUAUCAGCCAAGAGCUGUGCCUGGCCUUUCCUGACAUCUGUGUGGAGGUCAACCUUGAAAAACCCCGGAGAAAUAGCUUUGAAGUGGUUCUCUUGAAAAAGGAUGGCACCAAAAUAGAGCUAUGGAGUGGUCUUAAAAAAGGGCCACCCCGCAAAUUGAAAUUCCCAGAACCCAGCCACAUCGUUGAAAUGGUGAAGCUCAACUUACUAAAGUCAACAGUGAUGGAGUAGGAACAAAGUGCCUCUAUGACUGUCCGUUCCUCCUGUGAACUGGAGCAUUCAUGAUGAGAUAUGAUGAAGUGGGGUAAAGAAACUCUGGUCGUAUCUCUGAAACUGCUGCCCGCCCCUCCUUUGCAAGGAAGAAUGGACCAAAUAUUAUCCUUUCCUGCCCCACCAUCCUUUCAAAUGUUUGUUACUUCUGAGAACAUUUUGGGGAAGAACUUGAUUUUCAGUAAAACUUAACCGCCUCCUCUAUCUCGUUUAGUUCUGUCCUGUGAAAUAAAAGUAUGAGGUUCUCUCACAUACAACUCCCAAGUAUACACAUGAUUUCUGAAAACAUUUCAUUUUAUUUUGCUAUUGCACUUUCAUCCCUCCAGUGGCUUUAGAUCACCAUGCUAAUAUUUUGUCCUGUAUUUUUUCCCCAGUAAAACCUAAAUGUGUACUUGUUUGCUAGUGGCAUUUUAGAAGUUAUACUUAAAAUCUCUACAGUAUUUGGUCCCUUGCUAUCUAGAAUUGAAGGAAAUAAUCCAAAGCCAAAAGUAUUGGGAUUGUUUUGGCAGAGAAAAGGAUUUCUUCACAACUACUACUUUUAUUUUGCCUUUUCCUUAUUUCCUUGAUCAUGACAGAAUGAAGAACCCUGAAAACCUAAGUCUCUCCUCUGCAAUGUUUUGUUCUUUUUUU